rnacentral:rRNA from 1 species
CAAUAGCGUAUAUUAAAGUUGUUGCGGUUAAAAAGCUCGUAGUCGAAUUACGUACGUGUGACCCAGACAUAAGUACAUCUGUACGAGUGAUCUGUGUGUUGUGCGUCUUGGGUAAUUACAAGUUGGAAUAUACGGCUGCACUUAACUGUGUGGUCUUUCCUCUGUUAUUCCCAAACGUUACUUUGAGGAAAUUAGUGUGUUCAAAGCGGGCAUCCGCCACGAAUAUAUUAGCAUGGAAUAACAAUAUAGAUGUGCAUCUAUUUUGUUGGUUUCGCGAUGCAUAUAAAUGCUUAAUAGGGACAAUUGGGGGCAUUCGUACUUAACCGUCAGAGGUGAAAUUCUUGGAUUGGUUAAUGACGAACUACUGCGAAAGCAUUUGCCAAAGAUGUUUUCAUUGAUCAAGAACGAAAGUUAGGGGAUCGAAGACGAUUAGAUACCGU